rnacentral:rRNA from 1 species
GAUGAACGCUGGCGGCGUGCCUAACACAUGCAAGUCGAGCGAACGGACGAGAAGCUUGCUUCUCUGAUGUUAGCGGCGGACGGGUGAGUAACACGUGGAUAACCUACCUAUAAGACUGGGAUAAUGUCGGGAAACCGGAGCUAACACCGGAUAAUAUUGUGAACCGCAUGGUUCAUAAGUGAAAGACGGUCUUGCUGUCACUUAUAGAUGGAUCCGCGCUGCAUUAGCUAGUUGGUAAGGUAACGGCUUACCAAGGCAACGAUGCAUAGCCGACCUGAGAGGGUGAUCGGCCACACUGGAACUGAGACACGGUCCAGACUCCUACGGGAGGCAGCAGUAGGGAAUCUUCCGCAAUGGGCGAAAGCCUGACGGAGCAACGCCGCGUGUGUGAUGAAGGUCUUCGGAUCGUAAAACUCUGUUAUUUGGGAAGAACAUAUGUGUAAGUAACUGUGCACGUCUUGACGGUACCUAAUCAGAAAGCCACGGCUAACUACGUG